AAGAGGAAGGUAGCUGCGAUCUUGUACUAGAUCCUAUCAGAAUUCUGUAGUUAAACAUGCUUGAGGAGAGUAAUAUUAGGAUAGGUGACUUCCUAGGAAGUCCUCCUGUUGCACAUU